rnacentral:rRNA from 1 species
UACGGAGGAUCCGAGCGUUAUCCGGAUUUAUUGGGUUUAAAGGGUGCGUAGGCGGAAUGGUAAGUCAGUGGUGAAAUCCUUCAGCUUAACUGAAGAACUGCCAUUGAUACUGCCAAUCUUGAGUACGGUUGAAGUGGGCGGAAUGUAGCAUGUAGCGGUGAAAUGCUUAGAUAUGCUACAGAACACCGAUUGCGAAGGCAGCUCACUAAGCCGCAACUGACGCUGAGGCACGAAAGCGUGGGGAGCAAAC